CCUACGGGUGGCAGCAGUGGGGAAUAUUGGACAAUGGGGGCAACCCUGAUCCAGCCAUGCCGCGUGUGUGAAGAAGGCCCUCGGGUUGUAAAGCACUUUCAGUGAGGAAGAACGCCUGGUGGUUAAUACCCAUCAGGAAAGACAUCACUCACAGAAGAAGCACCGGCUAACUCCGUGCCAGCAGCCGCGGUAAUACGGAGGGUGCGAGCGUUAAUCGGAAUUACUGGGCGUAAAGGGCGCGUAGGUGGCUUGAUAAGCCGGUUGUGAAAGCCCCGGGCUCAACCUGGGAACGGCAUCCGGAACUGUCAAGCUAGAGUGCAGGAGAGGAAGGUAGAAUUCCCGGUGUAGCGGUGAAAUGCGUAGAGAUCGGGAGGAAUACCGGUGGCGAAGGCGGCCUUCUGGACUGACACUGACACUGAGGUGCGAAAGCGUGGGUAGCAAACAGGAUUAGAUACCCCGGUAGUC
rnacentral:rRNA from 1 species